rnacentral:rRNA from 1 species
CGCGAAUAGCUCAUUACAACAGCUAUUAUUUACUUGAUCCUGACAUCCUACGUGGAUAACUGUGGUAAUUCUAGAGCUAAUACAUGCACCAAAGCUCUGAUUUAUGACGAGCGCAUCUAUUAGACUAAAACCAAUCGGGCUUCGGCCCGUGUUUUGGUGACUCUGAAUAGCUACAGCUGAUCGCAUGGUCUCGUACCGGCGACGUGUCUAUCAAGUGUCUGCCUUAUCAACUUUCGAUGGUAGUUUAUGUGCCUACCAUGGUUGUUACGGGUAACGGAGAAUAAGGGUUCGACUCCGGAGAGGGAGCCUGAGAAACGGCUACCACAUCUAAGGAAGGCAGCAGGCGCGCAAAUUACCCACUCUCGGCAUGAGGAGGUAGUGACGAAAAAUAACGAGACCGUUCACUAUGAGGCCGGUUAUCGGAAUGGGUACAAUUUAAACCCGUUAACGAGGAUCUAUGAGAGGGCAAGUCUGGUGCCAGCAGCCGCGGUAAUUCCAGCUCUCAAAGUGUAUAUCGUCAUUGCUGCGGUUAAAAAGCUCGUAGUUGGAUCUGCGCUUGAAGACUCGGUCCACCCUCUGGGUGAGAACUGGGCUCUUCGGCUACACUGUGCUGGUUUUCCCUGCGUUGCCUUUACCGGUCGCGUAGGGUGGCUAGCGAGUUUACUUUGAAAAAAUUAGAGUGCUUAAAGCGGGCUUUAAGCCUGAAUAUUUGUGCAUGGAAUAAUAGAAUAGGAUCUCGGUUCUAUUUUGUUGGUUUUCUGAUCUGAGAUAAUGGUUAAGAGGGACAGACGGGGGCAUUCGUAUCGCUGCGUGAGAGGUGAAAUUCUUGGACCGUAGCGAGACGCCCGACUGCGAAAGCAUUUGCCAAGAAUGUCUUCAUUAAUCAAGAACGAAAGUCAGAGGUUCGAAGGCGAUCAGAUACCGCCCUAGUUCUGACCGUAAACGAUACCAACUAGCGUUCCGUCGCUGGCAAACACGCCUUGACGGGCAGCUUCCCGGAAACGAAAGUUUUUCGGUUCCGGGGGAAGUAUGGUUGCAAAGCUGAAACUUAAAGAAAUUGACGGAAGGGCACCACCAGGAGUGGAGCCUGCGGCUUAAUUUGACUCAACACGGGAAAACUCACCUGGCCCGGACACCGUGAGGAUUGACAGAUUGAGAGCUCUUUCUUGAUUCGGUGGUUGGUGGUGCAUGGCCGUUCUUAGUUGGUGGAGUGAUUUGUCUGGUUUAUUCCGAUAACGAGCGAGACUCUAGCCUACUAAAUAGUUACUGGAUA